GAUGAACGCUGGCGGCGUGCCUAAUACAUGCAAGUCGAGCGAAUGGAUUAAGAGCUUGCUCUUAUGAAGUUAGCGGCGGACGGGUGAGUAACACGUGGGUAACCUGCCCAUAAGACUGGGAUAACUCCGGGAAACCGGGGCUAUACCGGAUAACAUUUUGAACCGCAUGGUUCGAAAUUGAAAGGCGGCUUCGGCUGUCACUUAGGGAUGGACCCGCGUCGCAUUAGCUAGUUGGUGAGGUAACGGCUCACCAAGGCAACGGUGCGUAGCCGACCUGAGAGGGUGAUCGGCCACACUGGGACUGAGACACGGCCCAGACUCCUACGGGAGGCAGCAGUAGGGAAUCUUCCGCAAUGGACGAAAGUCUGACGGAGCAACGCCGCGUGAGUGAUGAAGGCUUUCGGGUCGUAAAACUCUGUUGUUAGGGAAGAACAAGUGCUAGUUGAAUAAGCUGGCACCUUGACGGUACCUAACCAGAAAGCCACGGCUAACUACGUGCCAGCCGCCGCUGUAA
rnacentral:rRNA from 1 species